UCGAGUUCGUUUUCCCAUCUCUACUAGAUACAUAUUUUUUAAAAAUAUUUAUCAUUUUACCAUUAUUCUGUCCGUUGGGCAGUGUGGAGAUGAUGGCCCGGUGGAAGUGUAGGCAAUUCUUGCAUGAGUUUACUGAGAGGAGUGUUAACUGUUACCGUGUUACUAAAUUAGAGUUAGAUCCUACCAUGCCGGCAUUGGAGUGAAGUCAAGGUAAUGACUGAUGUGUGGAUCCAAACAUUGUAUUUCAUGGUGGAUGUUCAUUCUCAUCUAUAUCAUCUUAAUAACUGCAAAGGAGCCUGCAGCUCAACAGCGAAAAGUUGGCAAGAAGAGUAAGAAGCCCCUACAUACAAGUUACCUGUGAGUCUAUUCAGUGUUGCCAUAUUACAAGAUCUUCGGGGCUCGCAAAGACCUUCCUUCAGGGAACAGUACCAGGAAAAAGAUGAAGAGGCAGACAGAGAAAUCGAUGGGAGGACAACAUAAAAGAAUGGACGGGCCUGCCAACAAGAGGCAAAAGUAAAAGACAGGACUGCCGUCACUGAGGAAUCGAA